rnacentral:rRNA from 1 species
GACGUAGGGCGCGAGCGUUGUCCGGAUUUAUUGGGCGUAAAGAGCUCGUAGGCGGCUUGUCGCGUCGUUCGUGAAAACCCACAGCUCAACUGUGGGCUUGCGGUCGAUACGGGCAGGCUAGAGUUCGGUAGGGGGAGACUGGAAUUCCUGGUGUAGCGGUGAAAUGCGCAGAUAUCAGGAGGAACACCGGUGGCGAAGGCGGGUCUCUGGGCCGAUACUGACGCUGAGGAGCGAAAGCGUGGGGAGCGAACAGG